CCACACUAACCAGCACCCUGGGUGAGAUAGCUGCACUCUGUGCCCCCUUGAUCACUUUACCACUCUUCUCCCCCCUGCCUUACCUAGCACACAUCACCCCUGUUACCCCUGGCUUGCUGCACUCCUCACCCCUGUUACCCCUGGCUUGCUGCACUCCUAACCCUUGUUACCCCUGGCUCGCUGCACUCCUCACCCCUGGCUCGCUGCACUCCUCACCCCUGUUGCCCCAGGCUUGCUGCACUCCUCACCCCUGUUACCCCUGGCUUGCUGCACUCCUCACCCUUGUUACCCCUGGCUUGCUGCACUCCUCAACCCUGCUACCCCUGGCUCGCUGCACUCCUCACCCCUGUUACCCCUGGCUCGCUGCACUCCUCACCCCUGUUACCCCUGGCUCGCUGCACUCCUCACCCCU